rnacentral:rRNA from 1 species
UGGGGAAUUUUGGACAAUGGGGGAAACCCCUGAUCCAGCCAUCCCGCGUGUGCGAUGAAGGCCUUCGGGUUGUAAAGCACUUUUGGCAGGAAAGAAACGUCGCGGGUUAAUACCCCGCGAAACUGACGGUACCUGCAGAAUAAGCACCGGCUAACUACGUGCCAGCAGCCGCGGUAAUACGUAGGGUGCAAGCGUUAAUCGGAAUUACUGGGCGUAAAGCGUGCGCAGGCGGUUCGGAAAGAAAGAUGUGAAAUCCCAGAGCUUAACUUUGGAACUGCAUUUUUAACUACCGGGCUAGAGUGUGUCAGAGGGAGGUGGAAUUCCGCGUGUAGCAGUGAAAUGCGUAGAUAUGCGGAGGAACACCGAUGGCGAAGGCAGCCUCCUGGGAUAACACUGACGCUCAUGCACGAAAAGCGUGGGGAGCAAACAGGAUUAGAUACCCUGGUAGUCCACGCCCUAAAACGAUGUCAACUAGCUGUUGGGGCCUUCGGGCCUUGGUAGCGCAGCUAACGCGUGAAGUUGACCGCCUGGGGAGUACGGUCGCAAGAUUAAAAACUUAAAUGAAUUGAACGGGGGUCAUAGCUGUUU